GGGCAGGAUCGGGUGAUCGCUCCCCGCCUCUGGCGGGGGGAGGAAAGUCCGAGCUCCGGAGGACAGGCAGCCCCGGGAAUACCGGGGGCUUCGCCGGUAAUGCGGCGGGGACGGAAAGUGCCACAGAAAAUAUACCGCCUCUCCCUCGGGGGAGGUAAGGGUGAAAUGGCGAGGUAAGAGCUCACCGCCCGGUCAGCAAUGUCCGGGGCCAGGCAAACCCCUGCCGGAGCAAGACCAAAUAGAUUCCGCCGCCAAAACCUUGUCCUUGUGGCAGGGUUUUAAGAAGGCCGGUCCGGCCGUAAAGCGGAAGGGUAGGUCGCUUGAUCUCCCGCUGUAAUGGCGGGGGGCAGAUAGAUGAUCAUCGUCCCGCCUCUGGCGGGAUACAGAACUCGGCUUACAGAUCCUGUCCGUUU
rnacentral:RNase_P_RNA from 1 species